CGGCGAGCGAGUGAGCGGCUGCAUGGUGCUUAGUUGCCGGCUGAGCCUAAACCAUGACAGUCCUUUUUGGCACCCAGCGUGGGGCUCAAAGGGUUGGUAUAACCACAGGUCUGACCAGAGCGUGUUAAAACAAAUUUGUUAUACGUGUUUCUCAUAUUAGUUAAAUAGUUGUUGGUCACAAUGUUGAUUCAUUUGGUCACAUGGUGGUGUUGCAUAAAUUCUUAUAUGCACUAUGUAUUCCCUGCGGUGAUGUUUAUCACCUCUGGGAGAGGGAUCAGGACUAUCAUUUUGCUAUACUGGGUGAAACAAAAAUUAAUGGAUACUUCUCCUUCAAGUCCAAAUCUCCCCGUAGGGGAAACGGAGUUUUCAGAGAGUUCCCUGAAAUAAAACUCAAUAGCAACGAGGUUACUGUUAAGCAGGCAACCUUUAUUACGGCACUGGGCAGCAUUGGGGAUGAGGCCACCACGAGUGCUCCAACGAUUUAACAAACUCUUAGAGAUUUUAUACAUUGUGGUUAUACAGAUGCAUAGAAUUUCCAGGAAAUCAUUUACAUAAACAUAAGAUUUCCGAGAAUUCAUUAAAAUAUGCUAAUGUUCGUGUUGCAUGCGCAGUAAAUUACUCUGGUGGUCGUCGAGUGUCAUCUGGUGGUCUCUGAUAGUCUUCAUCACUUGUCUGCUAGUUGACCUUUUCCUUUUGAUUCUGCGCAAAUACCACCCAGAGAUCUGCCCGAAGUCUGGAUA